rnacentral:rRNA from 1 species
CCUACGGGGGCAGCAGUGGGGAAUAUUGGACAAUGGGCGAAAGCCUGAUCCAGCCAUGCCGCGUGUGUGAAGAAGGCCUUCGGGUUGUAAAGCGCUUUCAGUGGGGAAGAAAGCCUUGGGGCUAAUACCCUCGAGGAAGGACAUCACCCACAGAAGAAGCACCGGCUAACUCCGUGCCAGCAGCGGCGGUAAUACGGAGGGUGCGAGCGUUAAUCGGAAUUACUGGGCGUAAAGCGCGCGUAGGCGGUCUGAUAAGCCGGUUGUGAAAGCCCCGGGCUCAACCUGGGAACGGCAUCCGGAACUGUCAGGCUAGAGUGCAGGAGAGGAAGGUAGAAUUCCCGGUGUAGCGGUGAAAUGCGUAGAGAUCGGGAGGAAUACCAGUGGCGAAGGCGGCCUUCUGGACUGACACUGACGCUGAGGUGCGAAAGCGUGGGUAGCAAACAGGAUUAGAUACCCCAGUAGUC